rnacentral:lncRNA from 1 species
CUAGCGGCAUAUGGAGGUUCCCAGGCUAGAGGUCUAGUCGGAGCCACAACAGCCAGCCACAGCCACAGCCACCACCACAGCCACAGCAAUAUGGGAUCCAAGGCGCAUUUGCAACCUACACUACAGCUCAUGGCAAUGCCGGAUCCUUUACCCACUGAGCGAGGCCAGGGAUCAAACCCGCAAUGUCAACGUUCCUGUAUGGGUUCAUUUCCAUUGCGCCAUGACAGGAACUCCAUAUUGACCCACAUUCUGAUUGAUCCUUUAAAAAUGGAAGCCCAGUCAUGUCACUUCUUGGAGCAAUAAGUGGUUCUCCAUCAACAGUAAAAGCCAAAGACCUCCACCUCCUUCUGCCAGCCCCUCGGACCACCCACCCAACCCUCUCCCACCUCAUUCUGCCCUGUCCUGUGGGCACAUCACACACCUGUGCUGUCCCCUCUGCCUGGAACGCUCAGCCUCAGACAUACAUCUCCACGACUCCUUCCCGCACCUUCUUCAGAGGCUGCUCAAAAACACACCCUUACGUAAAAAACAGAUACCCAACAAGGACCCACUGCAGAGCACAGGAAACGCCACUCCAUGGUCCAUAAUAACCCGUAAGAGAAAAGAAUAUGAAAAGGAAAAAAAUAUAUGUAUAGACCACACAUAACUGAAUCACUUUGCUGUACACCUAAAACUAACACAAUACAGCAAGUCAACUAUACUUCAAUAAAAUUAAAAAAAAAAGUCACCUCUCAAAGGCUGAGCUUUCUUACCCAGUUUGUUUAUUUCACAGCUCCUACCACUUUCUGGCUUACUUUACACUUCUGUGUGUCUGUCUGUGGUUUGUCUUCACCACCCCUCCCCUCCCCUGGAUGGAAGCUCCCGAAGGGUAGGAACUUCGCUUUUUCUUCCUUGUCUGUAAGUCCCAGAACACAUAACGGGUGACACACAGUGUCAGCAACAAAUACAGACAGGGCGAAUGGACAUGUCUCUACCCAACCUUGUAGGAAAGUGGGCAGGAUGAGGAUACACACGUUAAAGUAGGAUUAAAAAACAAGAGCCUACUGUACAGCACAGGAAACUCUACUCGAUAUCUUAUAAUAACCUAGACUAGCCAUACAUAUGGUUAUAUAUAUAUGUGUGUGUAUAAAUAUAUAUAUACAUAUAUAAUGUAUGUGUGUAUAACUGAGUCACUUUGUUGUACACUUGAAACUAACACAACACUGUAAAUCGACUAUACUUCGGUUUUUAAAAAACCCACAUAUAAGUGGAAUCAACAGGCAUGGAGCCAGAGUCGCACGUCCUAAAGCUCCAUCUGGGAGCAGGUGUAGAGGACUCAGCGGGGGUCCAGGCUGCCCUGCACAGAGGCUCACAGGAGCCAUGCCACAGGAGCAUCUGAGUGUGGCACCAGUGGCAUUUGCUUGUUCUCUCUGCAGAAGUCUGUGCAGGUGACAAUCCUGGGGCUGCACACCCACCACCGAGUGUGUUCCACCCACUGGUGUCUCCCUAGGGCAGGGCAGGCGGGGGGGCGGGGGUGGUCCUGUGGGAAAAUGGAGGCGGGUCUUUCUCUUGGGGACCCGUGUGCCUGGGCUUUGGGGGUCCAAGCCACUGGAGCUGCCUGCGCCGCUGCAUCCUCUCCAGUCCUCCCCCAGGAGCGGGAGGACACAGGGAGUCAGCUCGACCCUCUCAAAGCUGGAGAAGUGCUUGAUAUUUCCUGUGAUCCAGCCAUCACGAGAGGGAGAGGCUGCAGAAACGCGCUUCCCAUCACGCAAGCCCUCACAGAACGAGACGAACCAACACUUGGCAGAGUGAGAGAUAAGGAGGAUGCUUCAAAAAUAAAAUUAAAGAAAUAAAGACAUGUUGAUGAAAAUACAUGCAGGGAACAGUAAACCUCCAUGAAACGAUCAGGCCACCUCUCUCUCCUGGCACCAAAUCCAGUUCUAAUGAAUCUCUAAAGAGUCCCUAAUUAUGGGCGGGAUUUAUUUUUCCAGGCUUUCCACAGAAUCCGUUUCUGUAAAACAAGAGCAACGAGCUUUGUUCUAUGUUUUUUAGAAAAGGAAAACUGAACGUGCUGGCGAUUCUCCCUCUGUCCCUCGUGACCCUCAGCCCACACCCCCUGCCCCUGCUCCGAACCCUAGGCCAGACCCGGCUCCUGGGGGGCUUUGGACCCCACCCCCGCCGGAGGAUCUGGUCAAAGGCAGAGUCCAGGACACUUAUUCCUCUUUCCUCUCCUGGCCCAGGGCUCCCAUCAAGCACCCCAUCCGUGGCUCACAGCACUGGGGGCCCUGCUCUCCUUUGCUUCCGAGGCCCAGGGAGGUCACGGCCCCUCACUGUGGCUACUCUCUGGCGGCUUUGCCUUCUCCUCUUGGUCCUCUUGCCCUGCCUGCUUCUUGGUAAGGAGACCUUUCUUGAAACGCCCUCUGUCGCCUGAAGAACUUGUGUUCCGGGGGGGAACAUCCCAUUCAGGGGGAAGAUGCAGCCUGGCAGCUGUGUCUCCUCCAGGAGCAGCAGGGCUGGGAGACGGGCCGAGCGCUCUGGAAACGGGCAGGGCAGGGAGCUUCAGCCACGUCCAAGGCCAGGCUGCUGGCUGGGGGCCUCUCUUGCUGGGGCAUGACCCCUCUCUGACCUCAAGGCCACCUAAGUUAUUUUAGGAAUGCAAGAGAAUGACGCACCGGGAUAAGAAUGAGAUGCUGUCAUCUCAGAAUAAAAGGUCCACCUUCCAUUCACCUCCAUGAGCUGUCAGAACCGAAAGGCUGUGCUUCUGGGCUGUCAACCGCCAGGGCGAAGACUGAAAAAGGAAUAUACCAGGAAGAUGACUGCACCGAACAGGAGUCUGAGACGUUCCGCUCGGUAGCCGGUGUCACGAUAGUAAUGCGAGCACCAGACUGUGUUAAGGUCCUCGGGAGAAAGAAGACCACUGAGUGUCGCCCGUUUCCAGCUGCAUAACCGGCAUUCUGUAGACCCAGCCAGAGGGCAUCUCUUUAAUGAAUUAGCCAUUUGGUUUUCUCACAUUAAAUGGAUGGGUAAAGGUGUCAUAUUAUCAUGGGGCGGCGUCUGGAUAGGAUGAUGCCCAGGGCAGUCGUGACCACAGAACGCUGCGACCGUGAACUUGGGGUUGGUGGGAUUGUUAACACCCCUUAGUAUGAAUCAGAGAGAGGCAUCUUCUCGAAAACAGAACUUCCCGUCCAUCAGCUGGAGCAGCGGGCGUGCUCCGUGGUUAAUGUCAAAGGGUUUGUAACUUGGAUAAGAUGCUAUGCUUGCUGCCCAAUCUCAUCUCAGAUCUGAUCAGUCCUCCAGAAACACAUUAAGACUAAAAAUGGUUUCAAAUGGAUCUGAGGGCAGUUUUAGCACCAAGCAAAGCAGCAUUCUGGCUAAUGUCCCUCCUCUAAUGAGGAGAAAGGGCGGUCGUAUUAGCCCUCUGACAUCAAUUUGUAACUUAUCAGCCGCCACAGCAGCCAGCCAGAUUUCAAGUGACCGGAAUAAGAGGAAGCAUUUCGUGACUUGGGAAGAGUACUUUCUAUUAUUCUCAAGGGUUCCAAGGCCAGAUCAUGGCAACUACCAGAUAUGUUCAAUAAUCAUAACCCAUGUUUUCUGAGCUCUGAUCCUGCACCCAGCAUUGUCUGCGUGACUUGCUGUGCCUGGUCUGAUUUGAUGCUCCAAGAUCUAGUGAGUGAGGGAUUCUUGCCUCCAUAUACUAGAAAGCAAAGAGUCCUAAUUUAGUAGACCUGUCUGAAUGCUAAUAUUGGUACUGGUGAUAAUAACAUCCAUGAAAUGGUUCGCCAAGCUAUAAAAAAAUAAUUCUUAAAAUGGAGUAGGGGAAAAGAGCAAUAUUCCAGCUGAAGCCAACUCUUCUGUUCUCUUGGCAAAUGACGCCCUAGCUCUUAGUCUCUCCCGGGGGUGAGUGUGCUUUCCAGCACCCUUCUGAUGGAAAGUUCCACAAAAUGUGUAAGAGGGUGCAAAGGACCCCCUCUGACCUCGCCCUCGGUAUUACCCUCCUGGUAAACCUGAGGGUGUGGGAUUCAGUGAGAAGCGCCUGACAGAGAGGCAUUUCAAACUGCAGGCUAAAGAUGCUGCUGGUCUUGGGGUGUGUGUGGUCACCUGAAUAUGCACGUCUAGUCCUGUUGGCUUUAUAGGGUCCCAUUCCAUUGCUUCUUGCGGUGCAUGACCAAAGAGGGUCUUCACUGUAAAAGAAAGGGACGCCUCUGGCCAAAACACCCACCCCGGGUGAAACCUGCCAGAACAUUUCCAGGCUGGCCCGCGGCCCAUGCCAAGGCUUCUGUGUGGACGACCACCCAGACGUUAGCACACUGGAGCCACCCGAACGUGGCUCCGGGUCAUUCUGUUUACGACACUCUUCUUAAUACCUUAUGGGCUUGGUAGCAUCAGCUCCAGCUAAUAAGGAGUGUUCAUCCCCACAGGCUCCGAGAAGGGCUUCGCCUGUGUCUGUGACUUCCACAAACGUGUGGCUGCUGGCCCUGGUCCAGCCUGGGGAUGGUGCUAGAUUUUUACAACCAACGCUCAGUUAUCUCAAAAAAAAAAAAGCGGUUAUAGUCUAAUUGGAUUUCACAGAACAAGCAGGUGUGGGCUGAAGGGAAACCCCAGGUCCCUGAAAGUCUAAAACAGCUCUGCAGGAAAAACAAGGUGAGUUUG